AGUGGGAGCGGGCUUGCUCGCGGAUGCGGUGAGUCAGCCAGAAAUAGAGUGACUGGUCUACCGCAUUCGCGAGCAAGCCCGCUCCCACA
rnacentral:ncRNA from 2 species